GCACCAUCCAUAUGAAGUCCUAAUACGCCUAUAAUUACUGCAUCAGUGCAGCGUGGCAUGGAGGCAAUCAGCCUGUGGCACUGCUGAGUUGUUCUGGAAGCCCAGGUUGCUUUGAUAGCAGCCUUCAGCUCAUCUGUAUUGUUGGGUUUGAUGUCUCUCAUAGAUUCUCUAUGGGGUUCAGGUCAGUUGUAGAGUACCUGAGGCUCACAACAAGCAUUUGAAUAUACAACUGCCCCUGACAUUUUGUGCACAUGACAAAUAGACCUGAAACUAUUGGUGGCUUUAAGAUGAGCAUCAUAGCAGAGGAAAGAUAUUUUGCAGUGUUAAUGGCUAGAAACAUGAUAUACUUGUACUGGAAUGUCAAGUGUCAAGCAAAAUUGCACUUGAGCAAUAUCUGAACUGGGGUUUGUAGCCGUGGUUUCAGGAGCAGUGGACACUUCCCCUUCCCUUUGGAGGUGACAAAAGAGAAAGCAAAU